rnacentral:rRNA from 1 species
CGUGAUGAACGCUAGCGGCAGGCUUAACACAUGCAAGUCGAGGGGCAGCACGAGGUAGCAAUACUUUGGUGGCGACCGGCGCACGGGUGCGUAACGCGUAUGCAACCUACCUUUAACAGGGGCAUAACACUGAGAAAUUGGUACUAAUUCCCCAUAACAUUCGAGAAGGCAUCUUCUUGGGUUAAAAACUCCGGUGGUUAAAGAUGGGCAUGCGUUGUAUUAGCUAGUUGGUGAGGUAACGGCUCACCAAGGCAACGAUACAUAGGGGGACUGAGAGGUUAACCCCCCACAUUGGUACUGAGACACGGACCAAACUCCUACGGGAGGCAGCAGUGAUGAGGAAUAUUGGUCAAUGGACGCAAGUCUGAACCAGCCAUGCCGCGUGCAGGAAGACGGCUCUAUGAGUUGUAAACUGCUUUUGUACUAGGGUAAACGCUCUUACGUGUAGGAGCGCUGAAAGUAUAGUACGAAUAAGGAUCGGCUAACUCCGUGCCAGCAGCCGCGGUAAUACGGAGGAUCCAAGCGUUAUCCGGAUUUAUUGGGUUUAAAGGGUGCGUAGGCGGUUUGAUAAGUUAGAGGUGAAAUACCGGGGCUCAACUCCGGAACUGCCUCUAAUACUGUUGAACUAGAGAGUAGUUGCGGUAGGCGGAAUGUAUGGUGUAGCGGUGAAAUGCUUAGAGAUCAUACAGAACACCGAUUGCGAAGGCAGCUUACCAAACUAUAUCUGACGUUGAGGCACGAAAGCGUGGGGAGCAAACAGGAUUAGAUACCCUGGUAGUCCACGCAGUAAACGAUGAUAACUCGUUGUCGGCGAUACACAGUCGGUGACUAAGCGAAAGCGAUAAGUUAUCCACCUGGGGAGUACGUUCGCAAGAAUGAAACUCAAAGGAAUUGACGGGGGCCCGCACAAGCGGAGGAACAUGUGGUUUAAUUCGAUGAUACGCGAGGAACCUUACCCGGGCUUGAAAGUUAGUGACGAUUCUGGAAACAGGAUUUCCCUUCGGGGCACGAAACUAGGUGCUGCAUGGUUGUCGUCAGCUCGUGCCGUGAGGUGUCGGGUUAAGUCCCAUAACGAGCGCAACCCCUACCGUUAGUUGCCAUCAGGUCAAGCUGGGCACUCUGGCGGGACUGCCGGUGUAAGCCGAGAGGAAGGUGGGGAUGACGUCAAAUCAGCACGGCCCUUACGUCCGGGGCUACACACGUGUUACAAUGGUAGGUACAGAGGGCCGCUACCCCGCGAGGGGAUGCCAAUCUCGAAAGCCUAUCUCAGUUCGGAUCGGAGGCUGAAACCCGCCUCCGUGAAGUUGGAUUCGCUAGUAAUCGCGCAUCAGCCAUGGCGCGGUGAAUACGUUCCCGGGCCUUGUACACACCGCCCGUCAAGCCAUGGAAGCUGGGGGUGCCUGAAGUUCGUGACCGCAAGGAGCGACCUAGGGCAAAACCGGUGACUGGGG